rnacentral:misc_RNA from 1 species
GGUGGAUCCCGCAGAACCCGACGCAGCGCCAGUACCCGAACAUCUGCGGGUGAACGGCUAGGCGUCAGCUUGUCGAUGGGGAUGUAGACGGGAGAUGGAUCAGAGAUGGGGACGAUUCAUACCCUAAUUUAUUUCUUGAGAUGAUAUCACUGAUGCCGGAUCCUUGGUCGAGGAUAUACUUGCCGCUCGUACUCUACACGCUCUUUGUAACUUGAC